UACAGAGGGUGCAAGCGUUGUUCGGAAUUAUUGGGCGUAAAGAGCUCGUAGGCGGCUUGUCGCGUCGUCCGUGAAAAACCUGCGGCUCAACUGCAGGCUGGCGGUCGAUACGGGCAGGCUGGAGUUCGGUAGGGGGAGACUGGAAUUCCUGGUGUAGCGGUGAAAUGCGUAGAUAUCGGGAGGAACACCUGUGGCGAAAGCGGCUCACUGGACCACAACUGACGCUGAUGCGCGAAAGCUAGGGGAGCAAACAGG
rnacentral:rRNA from 1 species